rnacentral:piRNA from 1 species
AGGGAUCUUCAGGGUGGGUAGAAUUG